GAUGAACGCUAGCGGCAGGCUUAAUACAUGCAAGUCGUGGGGCAGCAGGAAGUAGCAAUACUUUGCUGGCGACCGGCAAACGGGUGCGUAACACGUACGCAACUUUCCCUUUACUGGAAGAUAGCCCACCGAAAGGUGGAUUAAUACUCCAUAUUAUAAUGGAACGGCAUCGUUUUAUUAUCAAAGCUCAGGCGGUAAAGGAUGGGCGUGCGGCUGAUUAGAUAGUUGGCGGGGUAACGGCCCACCAAGUCUACGAUCAGUAGCUGAUGUGGUAGCAUGAUCAGCCACCCUGGGACUGAGACACGGGCCCGACUCCUACGGGAGGCAGCAGUAAGGAAUAUUGGUGAAUGGACGCAAGUCUGAACCAGCCAUGCCGCGUGAAGGAUGAAGGUCCUCUGGAUUGUAAACUUCUUUUAUAUGGGACGGAACACUUUCUUUCUAGAGAGCUUGACGGUACCAUAGGAAUAAGCACCGGCUAACUCCGUGCCAGCCGCCGCCGUAA
rnacentral:rRNA from 1 species